UCCAUGUCCCCCAGGUGUGCCCCUAAAAAUAAAAGUUUGGGUGCAGCCCUAAAAAAGACAAAAACAAAAACAAAACAAAAAAAACGGGAGGAAAAAAAAAAGAACUGAAAGAGUGGAGUUCCGGUUGUGGCUCAGUGUUAAGGAACCCAACUAUGAUCCAUGAGGACUCGGGUUUGAUCCAUGGCUUUGCUCAAUGGGUUAAGGAUCUGGCAUUGCUGUGAUCCGUGGUGUAGGUCGCAGACAUGGCUUGGAUCCCAAGUUGCUGUGGUAUAGGCCAGCACCUGCAGCUCUAAAUUGACCGCUAGCCCCAGGAAUUUCCUUAUGCCUGGAUGCAGCCUUAAGAAAGCAAAAAAAAUAAAAACAAAAACCCCCAAAACUGGAAGGGAUUUGAUUACUUUUAGAUAUGACAUACAGCCCUCAGCAUUGGGCCAGGACAUAGCAAGACCAGUGAUGAUCAGCUACUGUUCUUUUCAGCUUUAUUGAUAGUAUAGUUUUGUUUCAUUUUUUUACUUUUUUUUUUCAUCUUUUUAGGGCCUCACCAACGGCAUAUGGAGGUUCCCAGGCUUGGGGAUGAAUCAGAGCUGAAGCUUCUGGUCUAUACCACAGCAACUGCGAUACCUUAUCCGAGCCACGUCUGAGGCCUACAUCACAGUUCAUGCAGUACCGGAUCCUUAACCCACUGAGUAAGGCCAGGGAUCGAACCUGCCUCCUCAGGAAUGUUAGUAGAUUUGUUUCCACUGAGCCACAACAGGAACUCCUGGUAUUAUUGUUAUCAUUACUUACUCAGUCAUUUGACAUUCAAAAACCUUUUCUGUCUGCAUCUAAUAGUUCCAGUGGCAUUUUCAUUGACUUGUGUCAUUUUCAAAUGGCUUCUGCAUAUGAGGCUCCUAUCUCACGUUAUAGGCAUACUUUGCUUUGUUAUGCUUUGUAAAUACCCUGUUUUUUUUUUUUUGUUUUGUUUUUGUUUUUUUGUUUUUUGUCUUUUUGCCAUUUCUUGGGAACCUCCAUAUGCCCAAGGUAUGCCCAAAAAAUAAAAAUUUGUGACAUCCCUUGUCCAGCAAUUGUGUCAAUUGUGUCAGAUUACUAGCGUGUUUUCGGUAGCAUUUGCUUACCUCAGCUUGCCUCACUGAAGACUUAGAUGAUGGUUAGUGUUUUUUAAGCAAUAAAGUAUUUUUAGGAGUUGCCGUCGUGGUGCA
rnacentral:lncRNA from 1 species